rnacentral:rRNA from 1 species
GAUGAACGCUGACAGAAUGCUUAACACAUGCAAGUCUACUUGAAUUUGGGUUUUUAACUUAGGUUUGGGUGGCGGACGGGUGAGUAACGCGUAAAGAACUUGCCUCACAGCUAGGGACAACAUUUAGAAAUGAAUGCUAAUACCUAAUAUUAUGAUAAUAGGGCAUCCUAUAAUUAUGAAAGCUAUAUGCGCUGUGAGAGAGCUUUGCGUCCCAUUAGCUAGUUGGAGAGGUAACGGCUCACCAAGGCGAUGAUGGGUAGCCGGCCUGAGAGGGUGAUCGGCCACAAGGGGACUGAGACACGGCCCUUACUCCUACGGGAGGCAGCAGUGGGGAAUAUUGGACAAUGGACCGAGAGUCUGAUCCAGCAAUUCUGUGUGCACGAUGAAGUUUUUCGGAAUGUAAAGUGCUUUCAGUUGGGAAGAAAGAAAUGACAGUACCAACAGAAGAAGUGACGGCUAAAUACGUGCCAGCAGCCGCGGUAAUACGUAUGUCACGAGCGUUAUCCGGAUUUAUUGGGCGUAAAGCGCGUCUAGGUGGUUAUAUAAGUCUGAUGUGAAAAUGCAGGGCUCAACUCUGUAUUGCGUUGGAAACUGUAUAACUAGAGUACUGGAGAGGUAAGCGGAACUACAAGUGUAGAGGUGAAAUUCGUAGAUAUUUGUAGGAAUGCCGAUGGGGAAGCCAGCUUACUGGACAGAUACUGACGCUGAAGCGCGAAAGCGUGGGUAGCAAACAGG